CCCGGAGUGGUCUCGUCCCGGGAUCCCCUUCGGUCCUCCGGAUGGAGUUGCCGGGCCCGCCUCGCUGGGGUCGGCCCCCUCCCUUCGGGGGCGGGGCUCCAUCUCUUGGGUACUACACCCCCUCCCCCCCCACUGGGUCUUAGUCCUUUAAAUUCUUGGAAUCACUUUUGGGGCGUUAGAGACCCUGGAGCCGCACAGCGGGGUCCUGGGGGGCUAUAGAGUGGGGUCCUCUGGGCACUUAAUGAGAUUUGGGGGGUUCCGUUGAAAUGUUGCUGGGAGCUCAACUGGAAUCUAAAAGUUCUUCGGGAAGGUGAAGGCCAGGCACGCCGAGGGGGAGAAGCGAGCGGACAUCCAGCUGAACAGCUUCGGUUUCUACACCAAUGGCUCCCUGGAGGUGGAGUUGAGCCUCCUGCGGCUGGGCCUCCGGGAGGCAGAAGAGAAGUCCCUGCUGGUGGGGUUCAGUCUCAGCCGGGUUCGAUCUGGCAGAGUUCACACCUAUUCAACCCGGGAUUUCCAGGACUGCCCUCUCCAGAAAAACAGUAGCAGUUUCCUGGUCCUGUUCCUCAUCAACACCAAGGAUCUGCAGGUCCAGGUGCGGAAGUAUGGAGAGCAGAAGACGUUGUUUAUCUUUCCCGGGCUCCUCCCGGAAGCACCCUCCAAACCAGGGCUCCCGAAGCCACAGGCCACAGUCCCCCGCAAGGUGGAUGGCGGAGGGACCUCUGCAGCCAGCAAGCCCAAGUCAACACCCGCAGUGAUUCAGGUUUCGGGGAGGCGGGGCAGGAGGGAAGACGCACACCCCAGGGCCCUGCAGGGACCCAGAACCAGCUGAU
rnacentral:sRNA from 1 species